CUAAAGAACAAGAAGGGUAGAUGUUUGCAGCCUUCUGAGGCAGCAUGGUGUUACUCUGUAUUUGUUAGCUUGUUGAACUGAGCCUUUCCGACGAAUGGGUACAGGAGAUGAGCAGCACUCUAGAUUCCUCCAGGCCUGAAGAUCUUCUGAGGCACCUACACAGUCUGAGAACUGCAGCCUGUUCCCACAAGGCAGAGGAAACCGCAGCAUUUGUACUUCUGGAACCUCCAGCUGCCUCAGUCAGCCCAGGGUAACCAUGUCUGGAAGGGUAGGUCAGGAGGAUUGCUUUAUGAUGCAGCAGUACAGGGGAAAUGGAGACACUGACAGAAGAUAAGGACCUCAGAAGAUGCUUGGCAAUUAACACUGUCUGAUUUCUGAUAUGGUGGAACAGCCAAGACCAGAGCUGUGUAAUAGACUUUUUCCACAGAGCAAAGUGUUCAAGUUUUGAAGCCAUUGAAGAUCCCUAGGCUGGUUCAGGGCUUGGUGAUGCCAUUUUAGCCACAUCUCUUAUGGGUGUAUCUGAAUGCUCUGCAAAGUAAAGCAAUAGAGGAAAACUGGCCUGUUUCACAGGCUCUUGUUUUCUCUGACAGAAGACAAAAAAAGGAAAGUUGAGAGGAAAGGCAUCUGUGUGCCAUACAUUUAAAUGACUCAGGCAAGGCUGAAACUCUGACAUGGCAGGACAUUUCUAGAAGGCAGUGGGUAGUGGGGCAGAAGCUCUGCUUUGAUCUUGUUGGACUGACUGUGAUUCUGGAAUGGAGCUGAGAAUCAGCAGGGAAGGAUAAGGACUUAUUUUUGAUGAUGGAAAAGCACUGUCUAAAGGAAAUGAGAUGACAGAAAGGAGCUGUAGAUUCUUCUUGUUGAGUUUAAAUGUUUGAGCCUGAUUGCUUGUCAGGACAUUGCAAUCCAAAGAGUAAAAAAACAAAACAACAACAAAAAAAAAAAACAAACAUAAUUUCUCUCUUGUGGUAUGAUUACCUUCAAUUUUGUGAUAAGAUUACUUUGCUUUGAAUAAGUUAAGGUACUAAUUGCGCUCCUGUGCCUCUCCUUCCUUGUACCCUGAUUGUAUGAAAUGGAGUGGGAGAUAAUGCAGAGAUUAUCAGGCAUUAUUGCGGCUGCAAUGUGAAGGGGAAAAUGGCUGCAAAUGGCUGAAGGGUUAAGUGUUAAAUCUAGGAUUUCUGUGUGGUUUGGAUACUUGUUUGAACUCUUCACCCUACGUUUCCUCACCCCCUCUUGUUCUCUGUCUUCAUUCUCGUGAUCUGGCCAUCUUUUCCUUAUUCCAGACAACCAGAGGUGUGACCAUGGUGUGCUGGCUUUCUUACAGGCAAACACUUCUCCUUAACUUUGGCUUCUAAAUUUUUCUUUCAAUAAAGCUAGAAGGACGUUGGAGCUUAGUGAUGCCAUUUUAGCCACAUCCCUUAUGUGUGUGUAUCUGAAUGCUCUGCAAAUUAAAGCACGGUUGGAGCUUAAGUUGUGCUGCUGCAUUUUAAAUAUAUAUUGCUGUCAAAGAUCCUUAAAUCAUGUUGGAUGUAGUUUCUUUUUUGAAUUUUUGUACAUAUUUAGGUUUUUUGUUUUAAUGACAAAAAUUACAUGAAAAACUGUUCAUUAAAUAGCCAUUUUUAAUUCUCUAUACUA